UACGUAGGGGGCAAGCGUUGUCCGGAUUUAUUGGGCGUAAAGAGCGUGUAGGCGGCUUUACAGGUCCGUUGUGAAAACUCGAGGCUCAACCUCGAGACGCCGGUGGAAACCGUAAAGCUAGAGUCCGGAAGAGGAGAGUGGAAUUCCUGGUGUAGCGGUGAAAUGCGCAGAUAUCAGGAAGAACACCGGUGGCGAAGGCGGUUCUCUGGGCCUGUACUGGCGCUGAGGAACGAAAGCGUGGGGAGCGAACAGG
rnacentral:rRNA from 1 species